AGGAAGGAGGACUGGGCCAUAUAAGCAUUCUGGACGUUUUACGCAAUCGUCAUCUUGGGGAAGUAUGCUGUAUUUAAUUCUGCAGUUUUGGCAUAAAUACAGGAAUGAUAUUUUUGCAGUGCGCUUUCUGCCAAUUCGGUGGAAAUACAUGAUAGUGGACGAAGGCCACCGAAUGAAGAAUCACCACUGCAAGCUGACUCAGGUCUUGAACACUCACUAUGUGGCCCCCAGAAGGAUCCUCUUGACUGGGACCCCGCUGCAGAAUAAGCUCCCUGAACUCUGGGCCCUCCUCAACUUCCUCCUCCCAACAAUUUUUAAGAGCUGCAGCACAUUUGAACAAUGGUUCAAUGCUCCAUUUGCCAUGACUGGUGAAAGGGUGGACUUAAAUGAAGAAGAAACUAUAUUGAUCAUCAGGCGUCUACAUAAGGUGUUAAGACCAUUUUUACUAAGGAGACUGAAGAAAGAAGUUGAAUCCCAGCUUCCCGAAAAAGUGGAAUAUGUGAUCAAGUGUGACAUGUCGGCUCUGCAGAAGAUUCUGUAUCGCCAUAUGCAAGCCAAGGGGAUCCUUCUCACAGAUGGUUCUGAGAAAGAUAAGAAGGGGAAAGGAGGUGCUAAGACACUUAUGAACACUAUUAUGCAGUUGAGAAAAAUCUGCAACCACCCAUAUAUGUUUCAGCACAUUGAGGAAUCCUUUGCUGAACACCUAGGCUAUUCAAAUGGGGUCAUCAAUGGGGCUGAACUGUAUCGGGCCUCAGGAAAGUUUGAGCUACUUGAUCGUAUUCUGCCAAAAUUGAGAGCGACUAAUCACCGAGUGCUGCUUUUCUGCCAGAUGACAUCUCUCAUGACCAUCAUGGAGGAUUAUUUUGCUUUUCGGAACUUCCUUUACCUACGCCUUGAUGGCACCACCAAGUCUGAAGAUCGUGCUGCUUUGCUGAAGAAAUUCAAUGAACCUGGAUCCCAGUAUUUCAUUUUCUUGCUGAGCACAAGAGCUGGUGGCCUGGGCUUAAAUCUUCAGGCAGCUGAUACAGUGGUCAUCUUUGACAGCGACUGGAAUCCUCAUCAGGAUCUGCAGGCCCAAGACCGAGCUCACCGCAUCGGGCAGCAGAACGAGGUCCGGGUCCUGAGGCUCUGUACCGUGAACAGCGUGGAGGAGAAGAUCCUGGCGGCCGCGAAGUACAAGCUGAACGUGGAUCAGAAAGUGAUCCAGGCGGGCAUGUUUGACCAAAAGUCUUCAAGCCACGAGCGGAGGGCAUUCCUGCAGGCCAUCCUGGAGCAUGAAGAGGAAAAUGAGGAAGAAGAUGAAGUACCGGAUGAUGAGACUCUGAACCAAAUGAUUGCUCGACGAGAAGAAGAAUUUGACCUUUUUAUGCGGAUGGACAUGGACCGGCGGAGGGAAGAUGCCCGGAACCCGAAACGGAAGCCCCGUUUAAUGGAGGAGGAUGAGCUGCCCUCCUGGAUCAUCAAGGAUGACGCUGAAGUAGAAAGGCUCACCUGUGAAGAGGAGGAGGAGAAGAUAUUUGGGAGGGGGUCUCGCCAGCGCCGUGACGUGGACUACAGUGACGCCCUCACGGAGAAGCAGUGGCUGAGGGCCAUUGAAGACGGCAAUUUGGAGGAAAUGGAAGAGGAAGUGCGGCUCAAGAAGCGAAAAAGACGAAGAAAUGUGGACAAAGAUCCUGCAAAAGAAGAUGUGGAAAAAGCUAAGAAGAGAAGAGGCCGCCCUCCCGCCGAGAAACUGUCACCAAAUCCCCCCAAACUGACAAAGCAGAUGAACGCUAUCAUCGAUACUGUGAUAAACUACAAAGACAGUUCGGGGCGACAGCUCAGUGAAGUCUUCAUUCAGUUACCUUCAAGGAAAGAAUUACCAGAAUACUAUGAAUUAAUUAGGAAGCCAGUGGAUUUCAAAAAAAUAAAGGAAAGGAUCCGUAAUCAUAAGUACCGGAGCCUAGGCGACCUGGAGAAGGAUGUCAUGCUUCUCUGUCACAACGCUCAGACGUUCAACCUGGAGGGAUCCCAGAUCUAUGAAGACUCCAUCGUCUUACAGUCAGUGUUUAAGAGUGCCCGGCAGAAAAUUGCCAAAGAGGAAGAGAGUGAGGAUGAAAGCAAUGAAGAGGAGGAAGAGGAAGAUGAAGAAGAGUCAGAGUCCGAGGCAAAAUCAGUCAAGGUGAAAAUUAAGCUCAAUAAAAAAGAUGAGAAAGGCCGGGACAAAGGAAAAGGCAAGAAAAGGCCAAAUCGAGGAAAAGCCAAACCUGUAGUGAGCGAUUUUGACAGCGAUGAGGAGCAGGAUGAACGUGAACAGUCAGAAGGAAGUGGGACGGAUGAUGAGUGAUCAGUAUGGACCUUUUUCCUUGGUAGAACUGAAUUCCUUCCUCCCCUGUCUCAUUUCUACCCAGUGAGUUCAUUUGUCAUAUAGGCACUGGGUUGUUUCUAUAUCAUCAUCGUCUUAUAAACUAGCUUUAGGAUAGUGCCAGACAAACAUAUGAUAUCAUGGUGUAAAAAACACACACAUACACAAAUAUUUGUAACAUAUUGUGACCAAAUGGGCCUCAAAGAUUCAGAUUGAAACAAACAAAAAGCUUUUGAUGGAAAAUAUGUGGGUGGAUAGUAUAUUUCUAUGGGUGGGUCUAAUUUGGUAACGGUUUGAUUGUGCCUGGUUUUAUCACCUGUUCAGAUGAGAAGAUUUUUUUUGUCUUUUGUAGCACUGAUAACCAGGAGAAGCCAUGAAAAGUCACUGGUUAUUUUAUUUUUCAUCAGGCAAUUUUCGAGGUUUUUAUUUGUUCGGUAUUGUUUUUUUACACUGUGGUACAUAUAAGCAACUUUAAUAGGUGAUAAAUGUACAGUAGUUAGAUUUCACCUGCAUAUACAUUUUUCCAUUUUAUGCUCUAUGAUCUGAACAAAAGCUUUUUGAAUUGUAUAAGAUUUAUGUCUACUGUAAACAUUGCUUAAUUUUUUUGCUCUCGAUUUAAAAAAAAGUUUUGUUGAAAGCGCUAUUGAAUAUUGCAAUCUAUAUAGUGUAUUGGAUGGCUUCUUUUGUCACCCUGAUCUCCUGUGUUACCAAUGUGUAUCGUCUCCUUCUCCCUAAAGUGUACUUAAUCUUUGCUUUCUUUGCACAAUGUCUUUGGUUGCAAGUCAUAAGCCUGAGGCAAAUAAAAUUCCAGUAAUUUCGAAGAAUGUGGUGUUGGUGCUUUCCUAAUAAAGAAAUAAUUUAGCUUGACAAA
rnacentral:sRNA from 1 species